UAGUACUGUCUAUAUAACGAAGUGCAUUUAAUGUUCACAUGUUUAAUCUUAUUUAUAAAAGUACAUGUAUAUAUAAUAUAUAUUUGAUGGUUCACAAUUAUAACUUCCAAUACAAAACGUUACUAAAUUCCAGCUCUAUAAAACAACAUGUUACUUCAAGCUACUACUCUAACAUCUGACCAAUACAUAAAGUUUCUCACAAGAUCCAGCUAUAAACAUGUUCUUAAUUUAUGUAAGGCAUUGAUUAAUGGUCUUAGAUUAUUUGGAUAAACUAUUGCAGUUCAACUGUGCAACUA
rnacentral:lncRNA from 1 species